rnacentral:rRNA from 1 species
GAUGAACGCUGGCGGCGUGCCUAAUACAUGCAAGUCGAGCGAACAGAUGAGGAGCUUGCUCCUCUGACGUUAGCGGCGGACGGGUGAGUAACACGUGGAUAACCUACCUAUAAGACUGGGAUAACUUCGGGAAACCGGAGCUAAUACCGGAUAAUAUAUUGAACCGCAUGGUUCAAUAGUGAAAGACGGUUUUGCUGUCACUUAUAGAUGGAUCCGCGCCGCAUUAGCUAGUUGGUAAGGUAACGGCUUACCAAGGCGACGAUGCGUAGCCGACCUGAGAGGGUGAUCGGCCACACUGGAACUGAGACACGGUCCAGACUCCUACGGGAGGCAGCAGUAGGGAAUCUUCCGCAACGGGCGAAAGCUUGACGGAGCAACGCCGCGUGAGUGAUGAAGGUCUUCGGAUCGUAAAACUCUGUUAUUAGGGAAGAACAAAUGUGUAAGUAACUAUGCACGUCUUGACGGUACCUAAUCAGAAAGCCACGGCUAACUACGUG